CGGCAGUCUUCGUUCAUAUUUAUAUAUGCACCAUUGUCAUAUGAAGCAUUCUUAUUGGUCGCUUCAUUACCCUGUGAUUAGUCAACCGUUCAAUAGUACAUUCUCCGAGGACGCAUAUGUAUACAUGUACUUCGGCAUUUUACUAAGCUGCGAUUACAUAUCGUGAAAAAGAGGUUACUAUUUAUAUUCUGUGAAAAAAUAAUCUUGAAUGAUAUUGUUUGAUUUAUGCUUUCAUAAGGUUAAUUAUUAAAUUGAAAACAAUUUUCUUGACAAAUUAUCGAAUAAACAUAUUUUCUCCUACAUGUCGAAUUUAUGUCCAUACGGUGUAAAGAAAGAUGUUGUCAGCAAAGUUAGGAUUGAAAUGCAUUCAAUACAUCGGCCAUAUAAACUACUACUUCAUCAAGUUUCUGAAAAAUUGAGUGAAGGGAGAAGGAACGACAUUAAAGACGUUGCUACAAGAAAUGUGUUCGUUUGUAGAGUUCAAUAAUUUCUUGUCGAAAUUGUAUAAGCCACGAACAAUGUUUCAAAUUGGCUAACCACAAGGAUAAUGAAAAGAACGGAAACAUGACUUCAACGGAGAAAAGAGAAUCUGUCAGAGAGAUCAUGUUUUGACGAAAAGACUAUCAAGGGUUGUCUCCCAGACUGUAUCAUUGAUCAACUAUUAGAAUAUUAUGGUUAAGUUAUACGAUACAACGAACAUAACCUAAAUGUUAUAAAAAGAGCCAUUUGUACAACUUUCUUCCAUAUAGUAUCGGUGGAUGACAAUUAACUUCAAAAUUUUUCUUCAAGCAAUUGCUGUAAAUGUAAAAUAAUUGGAGCAGAGCUUUAUUUACAAGAAUGUCUCGAGAAGAAGGUACAAUGUAAAUGAAUCAUUCAAUAACGUCGUGUGAACAAGUGUACCAAAAAAUGUAUUUGUGGAAUCUCGUACAUUGAAACUUCGUAUAUAUGAUGCCGUCGUCACAUUUACUGCUGGUAAUCCAAGCAGAUAGAAAGAAUUAGGAAGUAAAACGGCCAUACUGGAAGGAACUGAACAAGGAGCAAGUUGACAAAGAAGAAAUACAAACAUAAAUAUUGUCUAACAAAUCAAGAUUUUUAAUAAGAUGAAAGAAAAUUCAUUUGAGUAAUACAGAAGAAGAUGAACAUUAAAGCAAUGAAUAGUUUUGACUGUUGUUUUUACUAAAAAGAAAAUUUUUAUUUAAAUUAUUUUUUAUAUGCAAUUUCUGAAAAGCUUUAUUUUUUUAAACAAAUCUGUUUUCUCAGGAACUAUAUAAGUACGUAAGACAUAUAUAAUAACUUAUAAUAAGACUCUUAAUUUUUUUAUAGUUCAUUUGUAACAUUUUUUUGAUAUUAAGUUUCUAGAAUUAUAGAGAUAUAGUAUAAAAUAAACACAGAAGUAUUGAGAAAGAUGGAAUGUAAAGAAGAGAGAAGAAAGAUUUUGUCUUAAUUCUUAAUAUAUGUAGUUCAAUGAAAAUAAAAGAAUAAAUAUACAAAGUAUAUAAGUAACCCAUGAAAGUUUCAUUAAAUUGAACGCAACAGUUCUUCAAAAAAUAGAUCAUGAAGUUAGCGAAUUUAACGUUAGUGAGAUAGGUCUAUAAUUCUAUUUCGUGCUACUAUUAUUUUUUGCACAAUUGCAACUUGAAAGUGCGUGUAUAUGUUAUUCAUAAUUUCCAAUGGUUAUGAAUAAUGACAAAUCAAAAUUGUAAUUAUAAUAAAUUACAGUGUUAGAAUUGCAUGUUUUUAGGUAGUUUUCUAUAAUAAACUUAUUAAAAUGACCGAUGGAGCAAAUCCAAAACAUUAUCUGGAAAGGUAUUAUUUUAUUAAUUUAACUCGUACAAUCUGAUAUUAAAAGUGAAUUAAAAACCUUAAUGUAGAAAGAAGAGAGGAAACAAUAAGUACGAUAGAGAAUCACAAAAUGUCUCUACAUUUAUGUUCACAGAUCAAUUUGUAGAAGUAGAAACAAUAUUAGUUCCAUUAAAAAAGAGUGAAUAAGAAGUUUCUUUUCAAUUUGAAUAUUGACAAUCUCACACUCAUUCAGAAGUCUUCUUAUGGUCAAAUUAUAUUCAUUAUUAUAAUAAUAGUUAUAUAAUAAUAAUUAUAUAAAUUAUAUUCAUAAUCCAAACAACAGAAUUUAUUGGAAAAUUAUUGAUCGAGAAAUCAUUGAGGACAGGCCAUAGUAUGAAACGCAUUUAUCUCUUAAGACAUUCAAAAAAAAAAGAAGAACGCUUUAACGUAAAGAGAUGAUUGUAGAUUUAGUGAGUCGUUUACUUGUGAUCCCAUUUUUAUUCUCGUAUUCUUAUUUCAUCCUGAAUGAACUUAGAGAUUUUCUUAUAAUAUAUAUUUCUUUGGUAGGCAGUUAUAAAAGUACAACUCAAAUUUACUAUCAUUAGUUUUAUAUGAAAGAAUUUAUAAUAUUUGAAGUAUAACGUUAGAUCAGAUAUAAAUCAGAUAAGAUAUAGAUAUUCAUAACAUAUAUCUUGGCUCAUUGAAUUUAAAAAAUAUAAGGCAUACUCAUUUCAAAACAGUUUUCUUUUUUUUUUUAACGACAAUAUUUCUGCCUAAAUUUUCAGCUUGACGUGGUUUUAUUUCACCAAGAAUGACCAUCUGAUGUAGCCAAACUUUAUAAAAUGUCAAAACUAAAGGUGCGAACUUCGAUUUUAAUUUCUGUCUGAAAGAGAAAUAGUAAGAGAUAUAGAGAGAGACACAAAGAGAUACAGAGAGAGUGAGUGAGUGAGAGAGUAAGAGAGAGAGAAAGAUAUCGUUCUUCAGCAUUGGAAGAGGGAGAUAUGUAGAUAUCGUAAGAAAGGAAGUGAUAUAGAGUAUUAUUGUUUUUCUUGACCGUAUGAAAGGAAUAGGAAGGAUGUACGAAACAGUUAGAGAGUGAGAGAUAGAGCAGAGUAUAGAGAGAAGCAGUAAAUCAAUAAAUAUUUUCAUUAGUAUUUGUAAUAAAAUAUCAGUAAGUGGUAUAAAUGGUCAAUAUAAAUUAAAUAAUCAAAUAUAAUGUUGUCAGAAUUUAUUGUACAUGCUUAUCUUUCUAUAUAAAAUAAUAAUAAAUUAUUACAUUUGCAAUUAUAUUAAUUAAAAUUCUUAUAGUUUUCUAAUAAUCGAUUUAAUACUGACCGGUUAAUACUACGUAUUGAUAAUUUAUUAUUAACUAUGACCAUUAAUUUAUUUAAAAUAACGAUUAAAAAUGUUGAAAAAUAUUGACUUAAUAUUUAGAAACUUUAGUUAAAAUAGAAAUAGAACUUCGCUUUUGCCAUUCGAUAUCAUGCGAUACACACGAGCAGUUGUAUUUUUUUAUUUUUUAUAAAAUGAAUGCACUUCUUAUCUUUUAAUUUAAUCUAAACCUUUCGCUCUAGAAAUAUCGUAUAUUACGGUUAAAUCGAAAAAGAUAUAAUAUCAUGAAUUCUUUUGAUAUGUGUAACUAAUAAGGUACUAACUCGACCAAUCACUAAUUCCAUAAAAGCCUCUAUAUGUCUCUUAUCUCUUUGUUUGUGUCCUUGAAUAUAUGCGUAAAUAGAGCAGUUGUUUCGUAUAAAAACAAUUUUGAAACGGACGAUUGUUCAAAAUCUCAUUUAAUCUUUCGCGACAACAAGAGAUACAUUAUUUCAAGACUGUUAGAAUUCGUAGAUGUUAGAGUUUAGUUGGUCGAUAAAUCGUUCAAACAUGUUGGAACGUCGUACGUCGAGUUUGUGAUGUGCCAAACGCUUCGUAGGACAGAGAGGGAUGAUGAUAUUGUAGGAGAGUACAUCUGCGAUUGAAAUUCAAUCGUUCGAAAUUUUGAAAUAUAACAUUCGUGCGUUAUCAAAACUAGCUCGAAAUGAUUUUGUGCGUAACAAAAAAAAAAAUCUUUUGCGCCACGUGGAAAUGACAUAUCACUCAUUUUGAGCGUACACUCCAAAUACCGAAUAAAUUUGAAACGUUCGAAUCGAUAUCUUGUCUCUUAUAAGGAAUGAAAUAUGAGGAUAAAGCAGAAAUACGUCAUCGAUCUAGUUGAUUGACGGAUCGAUCAAGUCGAUUAAAAGAUCACAGGCCUCAAGCAAGAAAAGAUAAUGAAGGAAUAAUUACGUAAUUCCAAAGGUUUAUAAAGUUGAAGUAAUUAACCUGUGAAACCAUGGGGAAUGGAUUUUCAAUAAUCCUCCGAGAAGGAAGAAAGAUAAAAUGGGACUUUCCCGUUGAGAAUUUAUGAAAGAUUGGACAGUAUGGAUAAAACGUAUUAAAAAUGGCGGAUGGAUCAAAUUAUGCGAAGAAUAAUUUCUAUUUAUUAGAAUUGAGAACAAUCAAUAAUAUUGUCAACAAGUGAAAGACAGGAGUCUUUCAGCGAUAUCCUUUGUCCGUUUUAAGCCAAUUUCAAGAUUUUAAUUUAACAAUGCGCCGAUUUAUGGACGUAAUUUCCAACUAUUCGAAUUUCCAACAUCGAACGUAUCAAGAGAAAGAAAUGAACAAAACGCGUGUUCGAAAUGAGAGAGAUAACGAGUUAUGAUAUGAGUUAAAUGUUGACAAAACAUUGAUACCAGAAAUUCUCUGAUGCAAAUUAUUGUAUCGAAAAAAAAAUUCGUUUGUUUGAGAAAGAAAUUCUCGGAAGAAAAUUCGUGCUCUUGUAACAGAAGAUUAGUUCCAAUUGCUUCAUUGAUACGAUGUUUGAAUGGUUUUUGAACAGAUGAUGUUUACAUCAAGGUAUUCUUAAGGAAUGAAGAUAUUUCUAAUGAUAUCAAAAUACCUUGGAAUGAUAAGAAUUAACAGUCUCCUUUUCAAUUAAUUAGGGUAGAUACAAAAGUUUAUUUCAUUCAAUCAAUCGCGACACAAUAUUAUCCGCUAAAACUGACCUUUACGUCCAUUACAUUUAAGUUCAUUACGUUUUAUUUACAAUUAGCUUAGCGAUAAACUUAUAUAAUAUAUUUUCUUAUACAUAUGUACAUCAACGUAAUUUUCUUUAUUUUCGUCAGACAGCACCAGGAUUAAAUACAAGUAAAUACGGAAUUAUAGCUAAAAUUACGUCCAGAUCAUUAUGUUUUAUCGAUUAACAACGCAAUAUAUACAUAUAUAUAGACAUACAAAACAUUUGUAGGGUUGAUUCUAAUAUUUUUUAAUAAUUACGAAUGUUUAAACGAAGGUACUCUCUACAUAUAGAAUGUACGUAGGGUUAAUGGAUGCACGUGCGCACGCAUGUACAUGUAUGUAUUAAUAUUGAUGAAUAACUGUAAUGGGCCUAUAUCCGUAUGUAAUAUACAUGUAAAUAUUUAGCAAAAGUUAAAAUUAAUCCCUUGCAUUCAGCGCCGGCUCGGACGUAAGCUUCGUUUGACAUAUUCGUAUUUGCUUAAGAUGAAUUAGUAAAUGUUGAAGAAUAUAUGCUUUUGCAAAACAAUCAAAAUAUUAUUUCUUAUAAUUUUCCGGGCAGUUUUGAAGGAAUACUUUCACACCAUUUUCAUCGAUAUCAUCAUUUAUAAGAUUUCUUCGGUUUCUGAUCGCUCUGAGGGAACAAGCGAAUGCGAAGGGUUAAAAAAAGAUUAAAAAAUAAAUUAAAAUGAAAAGAGAAAAAAAGAAAAAAAGAAAAAUAGAAUUGAAAAAGAAAUCAAAACCUAUAAAAGGGAGAAAACAAAAAAGAUAAAAAAGAAAUUAGAAUCGAAGGAAAGAAUAGAAUCUAAAAGGGGAAAAUAAAAUUAUAAAAAGUUAAAAUCAGCAAAAAGAAAGAUAAAAUAAAAAUUAAAAGAAAGAGAUUAAAGGAGAAAAAAUAAUAAUACUAUGAAAGAAAGAAAAAAAAACAUACAAACAAGUACGUAUCGGGAAAUUGUACUGAUCUACCCCAUAUUUAUCCAAAAUGACAUCUGUGUAUAAUGCGCAUAAAUCUACGCGAUGUCGGUGUUAUAAGUGUAAACUGAAAUUUUCGUCGAUAUAUGGUUACUCUUUCAAUUACUUACGACAUUUCAAUAUUUUUAAUCUGCUACAGAAUUUAAUCUCAAUUUCAUCAACUUAGAAAUCUUGAUUAAAAGCGAGAAU